rnacentral:rRNA from 1 species
UACGUAGGUGGCAAGCGUUAUCCGGAAUUAUUGGGCGUAAAGAGCGCGCAGGUGGUUGAUUAAGUCUGAUGUGAAAGCCCACGGCUUAACCGUGGAGGGUCAUUGGAAACUGGUCGACUUGAGUGCAGAAGAGGGAAGUGGAAUUCCAUGUGUAGCGGUGAAAUGCGUAGAGAUAUGGAGGAACACCAGUGGCGAAGGCGGCUUCCUGGUCUGUAACUGACGCUGAGGCUCGAAAGCGUGGGGAGCAAACAGGAUUAGAUACCCGGGUA